rnacentral:misc_RNA from 1 species
AAAGCUUUUAUUAGAACAGUUUCUGUACUAUAUUG